rnacentral:rRNA from 1 species
AAUGAACGCUGGCGGUAGGCCUAACACAUGCAAGUCGAACGAGUGGCGGACGGGUGAGGAAUACAUAGGAAUCUACUCUGUCGUGGGGGAUAACGUAGGGAAACUUACGCUAAUACUGCAUACGAUUGAAUGAGCCGAUGUCGGAUUAGCUAGUUGGCGGGGUAAAGGCCCACCAAGGCGACGAUCCGUAGCUGGGCUGAGAGGAUGAUCAGCCACACUGAAACUGAGACACGGUCCAGUCUCCUACGGGAAGCGGCAGUGGAGAGUAUUAUACAAUGGUCGCAAGCCUAGUCCAGCCAUGCCGCGUGGGUGAAGAAGGCCUUCGGGUGGUAAAGCCCUUUUGUUGGUAAAGCGGUACCCAAUGAAUAAGCACCGGCUAACUUCGUGCCAGCAGCCGCGGUAAUUC